GCUGUUAAUGGGUUUUUGAAAGAAAAUAAAGAUAAUGACAGACUUACUGGUGUCCACUGUAUCCAUGGUUUAAACAGGACUGGCUACCUCAUCUGCAGUUUUAUAGAAAUAAAACUAAAUAUAAGAAUGUAAGCCGGCCUUCCCUGGUGGCGCAGUGGUUACGAAUCCGCCUGCCAAUGCAGGGGAUACAGGUUCGAGCCCCGGUCCGGGAAGAUCCCACAUGCUGCGGAGCAACUAAGCCCGUGUGCCACGACUACUGAGCCUGCGCUCUAGAGCCCACGAGCCACAACUACUGAGCCCGCGUGCCACAACUACUGAAGCCUGUGUGCCU